rnacentral:rRNA from 1 species
UACGGGGGGGGCAAGCGUUGUUCGGAAUUACUGGGCGUAAAGGGCGCGUAGGCGGCCUGCUAAGUCACACGUGAAAUCCCCAGGCUUAACCUGGGAACUGCGUGUGAUACUGGAUGGCUUGAAUUCGGGAGAGGGAUGCAGAAUUCCAGGUGUAGCGGUGAAAUGCGUAGAUAUCUGGAGGAAUACCGGUGGCGAAGGCGGCAUCCUGGACCGACAUUGACGCUGAGGAGCGAAAGCUAGGGGAGCAAACGGG